GACGUAGGGCGCGAGCGUUGUCCGGAUUUAUUGGGCGUAAAGAGCUCGUAGGCGGCUCGUUGCGUCGGCUGUGAAAACCCGCAGCUCAACUGUGGGCUUGCAGCUGAUACGGGCGGGCUGGGAUUCGGUAGGGGAGACUGGAUUCCUGGUGUAGCGGUGAAAUGCGCAGAUAUCAGGAGGAACACCGGUGGCGAAGGCGGGUCUCUGGGCCGAUACUGACGCUGAGGAGCGAAAGCGUGGGGAGCGAACAGG
rnacentral:rRNA from 1 species